UGGGGAAUAUUGCACAAUGGGGGAAACCGUGAUGCAGCCAUGCCGCGUGUGUGAAGAAGGCCUUCGGGUUGUAAAGCACUUUCAGUUGUGAGGAAAGUUUAGUAGUUAAUACCUGCUAGAUGUGACGUUAGCAACAGAAGAAGCACCGGCUAACUCCGUGCCAGCAGCCGCGGUAAUACGGAGGGUGCGAGCGUUAAUCGGAAUUACUGGGCGUAAAGCGCACGCAGGCGGUCUGUUAAGCUAGAUGUGAAAGCCCCGCGCUCAACGUGGGAGGGUCAUUUAGAACUGGCAGACUAGAGUCUUGGAGAGGGGAGUGGAAUUCCAGGUGUAGCGGUGAAAUGCGUAGAGAUCUGGAGGAACAUCAAUGGCGAAGGCAACUCCCUGGCCAAAGACUGACGCUCAUGUGCGAAAGUGUGGGUAGCGAACAGGAUUAGAUACCCUGGUAGUCCACACCGUAAACGCUGUCUACUAGCUGUUUGUGAAUUUAAUUCGUGAGUAGCGAAGCUAAC
rnacentral:rRNA from 1 species